UACCAGCACCCCGAGUGGUCGGGACGUUUAUUGGGCCUAAAGCAUCCGUAGCCGGUUCUACAAGUCUUCCGUUAAAUCCAAUUGCUUAACAGGUGGGCUGCGGAAGAUACUAUAGAGCUAGGAGGCGGGAGAGGCAAGCGGUACUCGAUGGGUAGGGGUAAAAUCCGUUGAUCCAUUGAAGACCACCAGUGGCGAAGGCGGCUUGCCAGAACGCGCUCGACGGUGAGGGAUGAAAGCUGGGGGAGCAAACCGG
rnacentral:rRNA from 1 species